UACGGGGGGGGCGAGCGUUAUUCGGAAUUAUUGGGCGUAAAGGGCGUGUAGGCGGCCUCGCGUGUCCUCUGUGAAAGCCCUCGGCUCAACCGAGGAACUGCAGGGGAAACUGCAAGGCUUGAGUCCGGGAGAGGAGAGCGGAAUUCCCAGUGUAGCGGUGAAAUGCGUAGAUAUUGGGAGGAACACCAGUGGCGAAGGCGGCUCUCUGGACCGGUACUGACGCUAAAGCGCGAAAGCUAGGGGAGCAAACGGG
rnacentral:rRNA from 1 species